UGGGGAAUAUUGCACAAUGGGCGCAAGCCUGAUGCAGCCAUGCCGCGUGUAUGAAGAAGGCCUUCGGGUUGUAAAGUACUUUCAGCGGGGAGGAAGGCGAUAAGGUUAAUAACCUUGUCGAUUGACGUUACCCGCAGAAGAAGCACCGGCUAACUCCGUGCCAGCAGCCGCGGUAAUACGGAGGGUGCAAGCGUUAAUCGGAAUUACUGGGCGUAAAGCGCACGCAGGCGGUCUGUCAAGUCGGAUGUGAAAUCCCCGGGCUCAACCUGGGAACUGCAUUCGAAACUGGCAGUCUAGAGUCUUGUAGAGGGGGGUAGAAUUCCAGGUGUAGCGGUGAAAUGCGUAGAGAUCUGGAGGAAUACCGGUGGCGAAGGCGGCCCCCUGGACAAAGACUGACGCUCAGGUGCGAAAGCGUGGGGAGCAAACA
rnacentral:rRNA from 1 species